AUACUUUAAAUCCUUUGCCGAGGAUCGAUUGGAGGGCAAGUUUGGUGCCAGCAGCCGCGGUAAUUCCAGCUCCAAUAGCGUAUAUUAAUACUGUUGCAGUUAAAAAGCUUGUAGUUGGAUUUUGGGUCCAGGCGCGGGGGGAGCGAUUUAAUUGCGGUCCCUAUCCGGGUAUCCUGGUUUCCUGUAGCUACGUGUCCCCUGAUGAUUUUUGCCGAUUUGUCUAUGGCGCGAAGCUCGUUUACUUUGAAAAAAUUAGAGUGUUCAAAGCAGGCCUAAACCACGUAGCCUGAAUAAAUGUGCAUGGAAUAAUAGAAGAGGACCUCUGUUCCUUCUUUUGUUGGUUUCCGGAAUAUGAGGUAAUGAUUAAAAGGAGCAGCCGGGGGCAUCUGUACUACUGCGUUAGAGGUGAAAUUCUUGGAUCGCAGUAUGACAAACUACAGCGAAAGCAUUUGCCAAGUAUGUUUUCAUUAAUCAAGAACGAAAGUCAGAGGUUCGAAGACGAUCAGAUACCGUCGUAGUUCUGACCCUAAACGAUGCCGACUAGACGUGUGCUGACGUGUUUUUUCAAUACCCAUUUGAAAAACGUACCAACUCAGCACGCUUCUUCCGGGAAACCAAAGUUUAUGGGUUCUGGGGGAAGUAUGGUUGCAAAGCUGAAACUUAAAGGAAUUGACGGAAGGGCACCACCAGGAGUGGAGCCUGCGGCUUAAUUUGACUCAACACGGGAAAACUCACCCGGUCCGGACACCGUAAGGAUUGACAGACUCAAAGCUCUUUCUUGAUUCGGUGGGUGGUGGUGCAUGGCCGUUCUUAGUUGGUGGAGCGAUCUGUCUGGUUUAUUCCGAUAACGAACGAGACUCUCGCCUGCUUUUUAGAAUUCGCAUUCUGUAUAGUGUGCGCUACUUCUUCUUAGAGGGACAGGUGGCGAUUAGCCGCAUGAAACCGAGAGCAAUAACAGGUCUGUGAUGCCCUUAGAUGUCCGGGGCCGCACGCGCGCUACAAUGAUUAAAUCAAUUGGCUCCAGCCCCGAGAGGGGAGUGGUACUCCGUUGAACCUUAAUCUUGAUAGGGAUUGUGGCUUGUAACUAUUCCACAUGAACGAGGAAUUCCUAGUAAGCGCUUGUCAUCACCAAGCGUUGAUUACGUCCCUGCCCUUUGUACACACCGCCCGUCGCUACUACCGAUUAGGUGGUUUAGUGAAGUCUUCGGACUAGGUAUAUAAGCAUGCAAGUGCCGAAAACCUACAAAGCAGCCUAAACUUGAUCAUCUAGAGGAAGUAAAAGUCGUAACAAGGUUUCCGUAGGUGAACCUG
rnacentral:rRNA from 1 species